UACGGGGGGGGCAAGCGUUGUUCGGAAUUACUGGGCGUAAAGGGCUCGUAGGCGGCCAACUAAGUCAGACGUGAAAUCCCUCGGCUUAACCGGGGAACUGCGUCUGAUACUGGAUGGCUUGAGUUCGGGAGAGGGAUGCGGAAUUCCAGGUGUAGCGGUGAAAUGCGUAGAUAUCGAGAGGAACACCUGCGGCGAAGGCGGGUUGCUGGGCUGACACUGACGCUGAGGCGCGAAAGCCAGGGGAGCGAACGGG
rnacentral:rRNA from 1 species